rnacentral:rRNA from 1 species
CUACGGGCGGCUCCAGUGGGGAAUAUUGCACAAUGGGCGCAAGCCUGAUGCAGCCAUGCCGCGUGUAUGAAGAAGGCCUUCGGGUUGUAAAGUACUUUCAGCGGGGAGGAAGGGAGUAAAGUUAAUACCUUUGCUCAUUGACGUUACCCGCAGAAGAAGCACCGGCUAACUCCGUGCCAGCAGCCGCGGUAAUACGGAGGGUGCAAGCGUUAAUCGGAAUUACUGGGCGUAAAGCGCACGCAGGCGGUUUGUUAAGUCAGAUGUGAAAUCCCCGGGCUCAGCCGGGGAACUGCAUCUGAUACUGGCAAGCUAGAGUCUCGUAGAGGGGGGUAGAAUUCCAGGUGUAGCGGUGAAAUGCGUAGAGAUCUGGAGGAAUACCGGUGGCGAAGGCGGCCCCCUGGACGAAGACUGACGCUCAGGUGCGAAAGCGUGGGGAGCAAACAGGAUUAGAUACCCCCGUAGUC